rnacentral:rRNA from 1 species
GGAAUGUAUGGCAAUAGCUGGUUGCAUUAACAAAAAGUUAGUGUAAGAUCGACUCUGUCGAAUAAAAUUCUAGAUAGAAUUAUGAUAAUGACAUUAUCUAUCUAUGUGUCUUGACCAAAUUACGUGCCAGCAGUCGCGGUAAUACGUAAAAGACUAGUGUUAUUCAUCUUUAAUAGGUUUAAAGGGUACUUAGACGGUAAAUAAAGCCCGAAUAGGGAACUAAUAUACUAGAGUUUGAUGUAAGGAAGCAUGAAAGUACUGUUGGUGUAGAGAUAAAAUUCUAUCAUACCAAAUAUGGCACAGGUUUAGGCGAAAGCAUCUUCUUAUGUAAUAACUGACGUUGAAGGACGAAGGCUUUGUGUCUCGAACAGGAUUAGAUACCCCAGUAGUCUAAGCAGACAAUGAUGAAUGUCAUAGAUUAGAUUUAAUUAAAUUUAUUCUAUAAAUGAAAGUGUAAGCAUUCCACCUCAAGAGUAAUUUGGCAACAUUGGAACUGAAAUCAUUAGACCGUUUCUGAAACCAGUAGUGAAGUAUGUUGUUUAAUUAGAAGAUACGCAAAAAACCUUACCACAAUUUGAAUUAGUAAUAUGUUUUCACAAGCGUUGCACGGCUGUCUACAGUUAAUGUCGUGAGAUUUUGGUUAGUUCCAUUAAAUUAACGC